rnacentral:tRNA from 1 species
CAUUAAAUAGCUUAAAUACAAAGCAUUAACCUUUUAAGUUAAUGAUGAGGUAACUCUUUAAUGU